UGGGGAAUCUUGCGCAAUGCGCGAAAGCGUGACGCAGCAACGCCGCGUGGGGGAAGAAUGCCUUCGGGUUGUAAACCCCUUUCAGGAGGGACGAAGGUUGGGUCGGUGAAUAGCCGGCAGGACUGACGGUACCUCCACAAGAAGCUCCGGCUAACUACGUGCCAGCAGCCGCGGUAAUACGUAGGGGGCAAGCGUUGUCCGGAAUCAUUGGGCGUAAAGAGCGUGUAGGCGGCCCGGUAGGUCUGUUGUGAAAGUCCAGGGCUCAACCCUGGAACGCCGAUGGAUACUGCCGGGCUAGAGUUCGGAAGAGGCGAGUGGAAUUCCUGGUGUAGCGGUGGAAUGCGCAGAUAUCAGGAGGAACACCUAUAGCGAAGGCAGCUCGCUGGGACGACACUGACGCUGAGACGCGAAAGCGUGGGGAGCGAACAGGAUUAGAUACCCCGGUAGUCCACGCUGUAAACGAUGAACACUAGGUGUGGGGGAGUCGAAUCCCU
rnacentral:rRNA from 1 species